CACGCCGUAAACGAUGCAUACUAGAUUCGGGAGGUUCUGAUACCAUCCGAAUCGUAGCAAAAGUGCUAAGUAUGCCGCCUGGGGAGUACGGUCGCAAGGCUAAAACUCAAAGGAAUUGACGGGGGCUCACACAAGCGGUGGAGCAUGUGGCUUAAUUCGAAGCAACGCGAAGAACCUUAUCCUGGGCUUGACAUGCAUGGAUUAACCCUCCGAAAAGAGGGCCACGCUCGCAAGAGUGGAACAUGCACAGGUGC
rnacentral:rRNA from 1 species